GAGGUUUUCACAGACCAUUGUCACUGUUUCUUGUGAACACAAGCUGUAGAACAGAGGAACAGCAACGGAGUAUAGUUGACUUCUGGAUGACUGGUCUGGGCUUCCUGAGUGCUGGGUACCAUAAGCUGCACACUUUCAGGUGGUGAUUCCUGCCACCCAAGGACAGAAACUAAAGGGACGUCUGGUUAAUAUCCCUAGGCAGCAAACAUGCUACACACUGAAAGGAGAAGCAAAAACAAGAUGAACAAGGUGGGGAGGAAGCAGCUCCACAGAGGAAUGUGACUCCUAACUGCUGCACAAGCCCGUGGGGCACUGAGGAGCUCCAUUAUCUACACACUGACUGUGAAGGCAUCUCUGUAAAUACUGCCAUGUGCAAAACUGGUGGAAGUGAGACCUGGGUCUUCAGUGGUAUUUCACUGCCUAAUUUGUAUUUGGGCACUGUCAUCUCUGGAUGCUCUGCUUCCUAUGGAGCAGGAAGGCUAAAGAUUUGUUUUCUUAAUGCUCAUUAUAUUUUUGGAACCUCA